AAACGACAUUACAAAGAGAAAUUCGCUCGUCGCAAGUAAGUAACAAGCCUUGAGUAGUUUGUGCUCUUCAAGUUUCUCUUCUUCUUUCUAACAAUGGAAAUUUUGGAGAGAGGAGAAACCAGAGGAACCAGAGCCACCGAAAUAUAGGGAUCGUGCGAAGGAACGAAGAGAAGACCAAAAUCCCGAUUAUGAGCCCACCGNNNNNNNUGGGGUCUUUUCACGCAGUUGCUCCUCCAGGUGCAGUUGAUCUCCAGUCAGCUGACGCCCAC
rnacentral:misc_RNA from 1 species